rnacentral:rRNA from 2 species
UAGGGAAUCUUCGGCAAUGGGGGGAACCCUGACCGAGCAACGCCGCGUGAGUGAAGAAGGUUUUCGGAUCGUAAAGCUCUGUUGUUAAGGAAGAACGAGUGUGAGAAUGGAAAGUUCAUGCUGUGACGGUACUUAACCAGAAAGGGACGGCUAACUACGUGCCAGCAGCCGCGGUAAUACGUAGGUCCCGAGCGUUGUCCGGAUUUAUUGGGCGUAAAGCGAGCGCAGGCGGUUAGAAAAGUCUGAAGUGAAAGGCAGUGGCUCAACCAUUGUAGGCUUUGGAAACUGUUUAACUUGAGUGCAGAAGGGGAGAGUGGAAUUCCAUGUGUAGCGGUGAAAUGCGUAGAUAUAUGGAGGAACACCGGUGGCGAAAGCGGCUCUCUGGUCUGUACCUGACGCUGAGGCUCGAAAGCGUGGGGAGCGAACAGG